rnacentral:rRNA from 1 species
AUAGAGUACUAGAGUUUGAUCAUGGCUCAGGAUGAACGCUGGCGGCGUGCUUAACACAUGCAAGUCGAACGAUGAUCUCCAGCUUGCUGGGGGGAUUAGUGGCGAACGGGUGAGUAACACGUGAGUAACCUGCCCUUGACUCUGGGAUAAGCCUGGGAAACUGGGUCUAAUACCGGAUAUGACCAUCUGGCGCAUGCCAUGGUGGUGGAAAGCUUUUGCGGUUUUGGAUGGACUCGCGGCCUAUCAGCUUGUUGGUGGGGUAAUGGCCUACCAAGGCGACGACGGGUAGCCGGCCUGAGAGGGUGACCGGCCACACUGGGACUGAGACACGGCCCAGACUCCUACGGGAGGCAGCAGUGGGGAAUAUUGCACAAUGGGCGAAAGCCUGAUGCAGCGACGCCGCGUGAGGGAUGACGGCCUUCGGGUUGUAAACCUCUUUCAGUAGGGAAGAAGCGAAAGUGACGGUACCUGCAGAAGAAGCGCCGGCUAACUACGUGCCAGCCGCCGCGGUAAU